rnacentral:rRNA from 1 species
CGAACGGGUGAGUAACGCGUGAGGAACCUGCCUCAAAGAGGGGGACAACAGUUGGAAACGACUGCUAAUACCGCAUAAGCCCACGGCUCGGCAUCGAGCAGAGGGAAAAGGAGCAAUCCGCUUUGAGAUGGCCUCGCGUCCGAUUAGCUAGUUGGUGAGGUAAUGGCCCACCAAGGCGACGAUCGGUAGCCGGACUGAGAGGUUGAACGGCCACAUUGGGACUGAGACACGGCCCAA